rnacentral:rRNA from 1 species
CCCUUGACAGAGAGUUCGGCCAAUGAAGAGGAAUGUUUAGUGGCGGACUGGUGAGUAACGCGUGAGGAACCUGCCUUUCAGAGGGGGACAACAGUUGGAAACGACUGCUAAUACCGCAUGAAGCAGCGAGGGGACAUCCCCUUGCUGUCAAAGAUUUAUCGCUGCAAGAUGGCCUCGCGUCUGAUUAGCUAGUUGGUGGGGUAACGGCCCACCAAGGCGACGAUCAGUAGCCGGACUGAGAGGUUGACCGGCCACAUUGGGACUGAGAUACGGCCCAGACUCCUACGGGAGGCAGCAGUGGGGAAUAUGGGGCAAUGGACGCAGAGUUUGACCCAGCAACGCCGCGUGAAGGAAGAAGGCGUUCGGGUUGUAAAGGUCUUUUAACAGGGAAGAGAAGAAGACGGUACCUGUUGAAUAAGCCACGGCUAAGUACGUGCCAGCAGCCGCGGUAAUGAGUAGGCGGCAAGCGUUGUCCGGAUUUACUGGGUGUAAAGGGCGAGUAGCCGGGAAGGCAAGUCAGAUGUGAAAUCUGGAGGCUCAGCCUCCAAAGGGCAUUUGAAACGGGUUGUAAUGAGGAUCGGAGAGGUAGUCGGGAUUCCGUGGGUAGCGGGGAAAGGGGGAGAUAGAAGGAAGAACACCAGUGGGGAGGGCGGAUUACUGGACGACAACUGACGGUGAGGCGCGAAGAGCGUGGGGAGCAAACAGGAGUAGAUACCGCUGGGAGUCUCACGCUGUAAACGAUCAA